rnacentral:ncRNA from 1 species
GGGUCGGCAGUUCACCCAGGCAUCGCCACUGCACUUUUUAUUGAGCGCAGCGCUAAACCUGCUG